rnacentral:hammerhead_ribozyme from 1 species
AUCUAGCUGAUUGAUCCCAAAUAGGACGAAACGCGUGUCUUUGAU